ACCAGUGGCGAAGGCGGCUUACUGGCUCGAUACUGACGSUGAGGUGCGAAAGUGUGGGGAGCAAACAGGAUUAGAUACCCUGGUAGUCCACACCGUAAACGAUGAAUGCCAGACGUCAGCAAGUAUACUUGUUGGUGUCACACCUAACGGAUUAAGCAUUCCGCCUGGGGAGUACGGUCGCAAGAUUAAAACUCAAAGGAAUUGACGGGGGCCCGCACAAGCGGUGGAGCAUGUGGUUUAAUUCGAAGC
rnacentral:rRNA from 1 species